CGAUUGGAGGAGGGAGGAGGGAAAAGAAGGUGGGACGAAGGCGGAGCCGGAACCAAGGAAACUCCCUAUCACAUCUCAUUGGCCUACAAAUGUCACUUCCAGAGAAAUGUGUGGAGACUGGAGAAAGGUGGAUUGUUACCACAAACUUGUGACUGUGUCAUGAGGAAGAGAGAAAAAGAAAAGACCCCUUGGCAGCCCAGCACCAGCGUUCACUCUGCUAAACAUAUCCGCUUCAUUUCCAACAUGAUGUUGUGCCCUGAAACAUGUACUCAUUCACUUAUUUGUUCUACAAACACUUUGAUCAUUGUCUACUAACACUCCUGUUUGCACUAGAGACAGCAAAGAGAAAAAAGACGUGGCCCUUGUUCUUGAGGGUACAUUAGUCUACUGGUGUGACAUGUGUGAGGAAAAAAAGCCAACUAAAUGUAAAACUAAAAUAAAGGUAAAGCCAUUUGAUAACUAU